UGGGGUGGUUCCUGCGGAGCUUCGCCCGGAGCCCCGCCCGAGGAGCCUGAGAACAUACCCGUUGAACCUGAUCUGGAUAAUGCCAGCGCAGGGA
rnacentral:ncRNA from 2 species